AUUGAACGCUGGCGGCAGGCCUAACACAUGCAAGUCGAACGUGUGGCGGACGGGUGAGUAAUGUCUUGGAAACUGCCCGGUGGAGGUGCCUAACUACUGGAAACGGUAGCUAAUACCGCAUACCAUCGGAUGUGCCCAGAUGGGAUUAGCUAGUAGGUUGGGUAACGGCUCACCAAGGCGAAGAUCCCUAGCUGGUCCGAGAGUAUGACCAGCCACAUUGGAACUGAGACACGGUCCAAACUCCUACGGGAGGCAGCAGUAGGGAAUAUUGCACAAUGGGCGAAAGCCUGAUGGAGCAAUGCCGCGUGUGUGAAGAAGGCCUUCGGGUUGUAAAGUACUUUCAGCGAGGAGGCGUUACUCGACGAAAAAGCAACGGCUAACUCCGUGCCAGCAGCCGCGGUAAUUC
rnacentral:rRNA from 1 species